AAAGCAGGACAGGUGGCCGCUCUUCCUCGCCGACCCGAGUCGGAGAGGAGGGGAGGAAAGUCCGAGCUCCACAGAGCAGGGUGCUCCGUAACACGGAGUCCCGGUGACGGGAAGGAAAGUGCCACAGAGAGCAGACCGCCCCGGUUGCGGCCGGGGCAAGGGUGAAACGGUGAGGUAAGAGCUCACCAGCCCCGGUGGUGACACCGGGGGCUUGGUAAACCCCACCCGGAGCAAGACCAAAUAGGGAAGCGAUCCAGGCCUUGGCCUGGAGAAGGGUUGCUCGCCCGGUGCUUUCGGGUUGGUCGCUUGAUCCCGGCGGCAACGCCGGGACCAGAUGAAUGGCCAUCGUCCCGGCGGGGGUAACCCCUCCGGGGAACAGAACUCGGCUUACGGACUGCUUUGGAC
rnacentral:RNase_P_RNA from 1 species